rnacentral:rRNA from 1 species
AUUGAACGCUGGCGGCAUGCUUUACACAUGCAAGUCCAACGGCAGCGCGGGCUUCGGCCUGGCGGCGAGUGGCGAACGGGUGAGUAAUACAUCGGAACGUGCCCAGUAGUGGGGGAUAGCUCGGCGAAAGCCGGAUUAAUACCGCAUACGACCUGAGGGUGAAAGCGGGGGAUCUUCGGACCUCGCGCUAUUGGAGCGGCCGAUGGCAGAUUAGCUAGUUGGUGGGGUAAAGGCCUACCAAGGCGACGAUCUGUAGCUGGUCUGAGAGGACGACCAGCCACACUGGGACUGAGACACGGCCCAGACUCCUACGGGAGGCAGCAGUGGGGAAUUUUGGACAAUGGGCGAAAGCCUGAUCCAGCAAUGCCGCGUGUGUGAUGAAGGCCUUCGGGUUGUAAAGCACUUUUGGCGGGAACGAAAAGGACUGUGCCAAUACCACGGUUCGAUGACGGUACCCGCAGAAUAAGCACCGGCUAACUACGUG